rnacentral:rRNA from 1 species
GCUUACACAUGCAAGUCGAACGAUGAACCACUUCGGUGGGGAUUAGUGGCGAACGGGUGAGUAACACGUGGGCAAUCUGCCCUGCACUCUGGGACAAGCCCUGGAAACGGGGUCUAAUACCGGAUACUGAUCCUCUUGGGCAUCCGAGAGGUUCGAAAGCUCCGGCGGUGCAGGAUGAGCCCGCGGCCUAUCAGCUUGUUGGUGAGGUAAUGGCUCACCAAGGCGACGACGGGUAGCCGGCCUGAGAGGGCGACCGGCCACACUGGGACUGAGACACGGCCCAGACUCCUACGGGAGGCAGCAGUGGGGAAUAUUGCACAAUGGGCGAAAGCCUGAUGCAGCGACGCCGCGUGAGGGAUGACGGCCUUCGGGUUGUAAACCUCUUUCAGCAGGGAAGAAGCGAAAGUGACGGUACCUGCAGAAGAAGCGCCGGCUAACUACGUGCCAGCAGCCGCGGUAAUACGUAGGGCGC